UACCCGCGGCCCGAGUGGUGCUCAUUAUUAUUGAGCCUAAAGCGUCCGUAGCUGGCCGAGCAAAUCUCCGGGGAAAUCGGGCGGCCCAACCGUCCGAAGUCCGGAGACACUGCCCGGCUUGAGAUCGGGAGAGGGAGGAGGUACUCUUGGGGUAGGGGUAAAAUCCUGUAAUCCUGAGGGGACCACCAGUGGCGAAGGCGUCCUCCUAGAACGAAUCUGACAGUGAGGGACGAAGCCCUAGGGCGCAAACGGG
rnacentral:rRNA from 1 species